rnacentral:lncRNA from 1 species
AUCAACUGAAGCAAUCUGCAAUGUUGAAGUUGCAUUGGUGACACAAAUUGGCGUGCAAAGAAUACCCUUCAGAAGGUUGGCAAGGUUGUGUGGUUUGCGAAAUGAAUCAAACACAUGAGAUUAAAUGAUGUAUGGGCUCGUACAUUCUUUUAACUUGACUGGUCAAAGAGGCUUUCUUGAUUUUCUGUAAGAAACCAUUAGUUUUAGCCUGCGCAGUCUUGACACAUGAUUUCUAGCUAAGACCAUCAUGCAAGGGUGAUCAAGCUAUUGUAUAACAGUAAGCUAGUUGCCUUUCAUUGGUAAAAAAGGUUUCAUUCAAUUUAAUAAAAUUCGAAUGACAUAAUUUUAUCCCCUUUGUCAGGUUAUGCAUGUCAAGUUAAUCAGAAGUUGGUGAGACCUGCUGGUGUUAACAAUUUUUGAAAGCAUGUGAGAUCUUGCCUACCUGAGUCCCUGGUAAAACAUUUGGGUUUCUUGAGAUGACUUUAUACCUGUAGAUUAAUGAGGAAGUUUUGGCCGCUGCUGGGACAAAACUGGGCUUGAUGAUAGUCAUUGUUGAAACAUGACUUGUUGGAAGUCUGGAACCAAGAAAAGAAAAGAAGAAACCCUAAAAAUUAAAGAAAUAGGACUUCUGGGAAUCUGGCUACAAUUCCUAGAUCUUCUAUUUUGAUUACUAGUUUAUUAAGGUUCUCUCUAGUCACUAGUUUUUCCUCUAUAUAUCUUCUUAUUUGUUGUUUGUAUGUUUGAUUCUUUGACAAGCUUUAAAUAUUUCUUGUUGACCUAUAUAUAUAUAGACACACACACACACACACACACAAGUUCUUGUUGGUAGAAGCAACCUUGUACAGUUGGGAUGUGGUUUCAGGAUGUUUGGUUCAUAACCUUCUUAAGAAUCCUAAGGGACUCGGAUUCCUUCUUCUUUGUUUUUUGUUUUUUUUCUUUUCCCUUUUCCUUCCCAUGUUUAAUGCUGCUCCCACUUUGAUAAUAUUUGUGAAGGAUACAAUCUAGAUUUAUAAUCUUUGAGUACGUAUUCGCUGUGCUGGUGUGAAACACAAACCUAGCAGAAGAAACGAAUACAACUUAUUUUAUUUUAUGUUUUGCCUUAAAAUGCAUUGCAUCAGUUUUAUUAUACGGGUCCAUAUAUUGUUUACAUAAUUGUCUCUGGAUGCUAUGGCAGGCCGCAUUGCUGAGCACAAGCAACAUUUUUGCGGAGGCACCUUUAGAACAUAGCAUUGCGCGGUCUUCUUAUGGAAAGCAAAGUAUUAAAGAUGAGAUUAUUUAUCUCUUGCUCUCUUAUGCGAUCUUUUAGUUAAAGAAGCGUCUUCUUAUGGAAAGCAAAGUAUUAAAGAUAAGAUUAUUUAUCUCUUGUUCUCUUAUGCGACGAAGAGUAGGUAUGUAUAUUCAAUAUCAUGGUUGGCUUGAAAUCUCAGUAUCAGAAUGCAGAAGUUUCAACUGCAGUGCAUUCUUUUCCUUGUGUGUUUAUUAAUUUCAGCAAUCCAAAUUUAUUAAUUCUAUGUUCCAAAAUUAAAGAUACUUUUGACUUUCAGAAGUCAAUUUACGAAAUCUUAGAAGUCAAAAUCAAUAUGAAUUUAUUUGAAUAUGGUAAUUAGAAGUACUUUUUGAAUAGUUUACAAAUUCAUAGUUCUUUAAACUAAAGACAAAUUAGUUCGUAUUAAUUUUGAGUUCUAUGAUUUGACAAAUUGACUUCUGAAAGUCAAAUAUGUCUAUAAUUUGGGAAGAUAUCAAAUAACAGUUUCUUAAUUUAGUAUUCGUGUAUUAAAUAAUUUUAUUUUCUUUGUACGUGGACAUACAAUGUAAUCCUAAACAACUUCUUCUAGCUAGUAAAAUUUCUUUUCAAUAACUAAAGUGAUAAAAAUAUAUUUAAAAUAUUUAAUGUUACCAAUCAUGAUUAGAAAGAAACAUAUGACAUACAAUAUAGUAUGGAGGAAUUAAAAAUUAAAAAAGAAGCUGAUACUAUAUAUUUUUACAUAAACUGUAAGAUUUGUUUUACAUUUUGGAUAUAAUAUAAGAAGAUCCAAUUAGUCAUUAAUUUUUCUUAAGUACUUUAAUAUUCUUCCAACGUGACUCCAUAUAUUUGGAAUCAUUAUCCUGCGCAUAGACGCCAAACUUGAAAAAGUGAGAACUUCCCCCUCUACCAGGACCUUCAAACUUAAGAACCCCAUCAAUAUAAACCUGCACUUUGCUGGCGUCUACGUCGUAGAUUACGUUAAGCCUGAACCACCUGUUAAAGAUUUUUGGAACAAGAAUGGGAGCCUUGUAGUAUGAGAGUGCACCAUUGUAUGUUCUAAUCAUUAGCGUUGUUGCAUGGCCGACAGCUCCAAAGAGCUGCAUAACGCACACACCAGAUGUUCCCUGUGGCACAUAUCCGUGUCCUUGGAAUUGCCAGACACCAGAAGAGAAAUCAUAUCCCUGAGAAAUGAGUUAAUUAGAAAUGUAGUUAAGAAAUAUAUACACACACACACACACUAGAGAUACAGUACGUUUUUCUUUUUUAGUUUGAUCUGUAAAAAAAACCUGGCUGAAUACCACAUUGGAAUGGAUAAUUUUUGAAUUUAGUGGAUGGUGUUUAAUUUGUGCAAGGCUAGAUAUAAUUAUAAUUAUAUUAUAUUACCUGUAUACGGAUCUCGGUACGUGGUUUGGUAUUGCUAGAAGGGAAGUGAGGCUUAUCUGUGCUGUAUACCCACAACUUGUGCACUCCAUUGACAAAACUAUAACGCUGAUUUACAGGGACAUUAUAUGGCCUUUGUAUCUCAAAAUUUGAUUGUGUUAAUGGGAGAGAUGUGAAUCCUUGAGUGGGAUCAACUGCAGCUGUGUUCUGAUACAAGAACAGGGAAACAACUAGUGCCAAGUAGUGCACAAAGACUAAUAUUGAAGAAUUCAUUCUUCUUCUUCUUCUGAAUAAUUACAUUUGUGUGGCGCAUGAGUUCAAUAUAUACUCUUCAACAGCAAAAUGCCAAAGAUCAGUCCACUUAUAUAUAUUGUGAGAUCUUUACUUUUUUAUAGUUGAAUGAAUGGACCAAUUCGAUGUCUUAUUUUGGGUAGUUUGCAGGUUUAUAUACGUUAUCAGUUAUAGAGAUGGCUGCUUGCAACGUACGCCUAAUUGCUAAUGAAAUUAAGUGGUGACUUGCAAGUUGAAACCUAAUCUUGUGACGUUUAAUUUGUAUAUGUGAAAUUUUUGAAGGUUGUCAUUUGUUUAAUGAAUUAGGAUCCUCUCCAUUUCAUUGUUUAGUUUUAAAAUGUGACAUCAUAAU